AGGAAAUGAAAAUUAAGGGAGCGUGCAAAUCAUGUAACGAUUCAUUUGAGUUGAUCUCGAUCAUAAACUUUAAUGUCUAGAUUAAAUCAAAAGGACUCUCUUCUUCAUAUGAGAUGUGUCAUCAAUUAUUUCACCAUCCUUGUAACACACAAUUGUAAGCAAACUAUCCAUUGAUGUACCUAAAAAAAAUCAAAUAAAAGAUAUAUAAGACUGAUCCUUGUAACACACAAUUGUAAGCAAACUAUCCAUUUAUGUACCUAAAAAGAAUCAAAUAAAAUAUAUAUAAGAUUGAAUCAAAUUUGGGGGGAUUCGAACCCCCAACAAAAGGUUCAACAUGUAUCCCAGCUCCACUAGGACAAACUUGCCCCAUGACAUAUAAUAUGCACUAAAGAAAUAUAUAUCAAAAGUUAGAAUAUAAAUACAAUAUUAAAAAAACACUUUAAAUAACAAAUUAAUUAUAACUAUUUUAUAAUUGAAUGAAAAAUUUUCAUAUAAUUGAUUAGUAAAAAUAUAUCAUAAGUUUAUUCAUAGUGUUUUUAAUAUUAUUAAUAUAUUAAAAUUUUAUAUAUUUACCAUCAUUUAUUUUAUAAUAUAUCAUAAUUUUUUUAAAUAGAUUUUAAAAUUAAACAUGUUAUAAUCACAUUUCACAAUAUUAUCAUCAAAUAAUAUUUUAUAUAAUCAAUGUACACUUAUCAAAUUUAUAAUUUUUUAUUAAAAUGUAGGAGUUUUUUUUUGCCACUUGGGGGGAUUCGAACCCCUAACAAAAGGUUCAACAUGUAUCCCAGCUCCACUAGGACAAACUUGUCCCAUGAUAAAUGAUACGCACUAAAGAAAUAUAUAUCAAAAGUUAGAAUAUAAAUACAAUAUUAAAAAAACACUUGAAAUAACAAAUUAAUUAUAACUAUUUUAUAAUUGAAUGAAAAAUUUUCAUUUAAUUGAUUAGUAAAAAUAUAUCAUAAUUUUAUUCAUAGUGUUUUUAAUAUUAUUAAUAUAUUAAAAUUUUAUAUAUUUACCAUCCUUUAUUUUAUAAUAUAACACAAUUUUUUUAAAUAGAUUUUAAAAUUAAACAUGUUAUAAUCACAUUUCACAAUAUUAUCAUCAAAUAAUAUUUUAUAUAAUCAAUGUACACUUAUCAAAUUUAUAAUUUUUAUUAAAAUGUAGGAGUUUUUUUUUGCCACUUGGGGGGAUUCGAACCCCCAACAAAAGGUUCAACAUGUAUCCCAGCUCCACUAGGACAAACUUGUCCCAUGAUAAAUGAUAUGCACUAAAGAAAUAUAUAUCAAAAGUUAGAAUAUAAAUACAAUAUUAAAAAAACACUUUAAAUAACAAAUUAAUUAUAACUAUUUUAUAAUUGAAUGAAAAAUUUUCAUUUAAUUGAUUAGUAAAAAUAUAUCAUAAUUUUAUUCAUAGUGUUUUUAAUAUUAUUAAUAUAUUAAAAUUUUAUAUAUUUACCAUCCUUUAUUUUAUAAUAUAACACAAUUUUUUUAAAUAGAUUUUAAAAUUAAACAUGUUAUAAUCACAUUUCACAAUAUUAUCAUCAAAUAAUAUUUUAUAUAAUCAAUGUACACUUAUCAAAUUUAUAAUUUUUAUUAAAAUGUACAUACACAAUUGAGUUUUUUUUUGCCACUUGGGGGGAUUCGAACCCCCAACAAAAGGUUCAACAUGCAUCCUCAAACUCCACUAGGGCAAACUUGCCCCAUGACAUAUAAUAUGCACUAAAGAAAUAUAUAUCAAAAGUUAGAAUAUAAAUAUAAUAUUAAAAAAACACUUUAAAUAAAAAAUUAAUUAUAACUAUUUUAUAAUUGAAUGAAAAAUUUUCAUUUAUUGAUUAGGAAAAAUAUAUCAUAAUUUUAUUCAUAGUGUUUUUAAUAUUAUUAAUAUAUUAAAAUUUUAUAUAUUUAUCAUCAUUUAUUUUAUAAUAUAUCAUAAUUUUUUUAAAUAAAUUUUAAAAUUAAACAUGUUAUAAUCACAUUUCACAAUAUUAUCAUCAAAUAAUAUUUUAUAUAAUCAAUGUACACUUAUCAAAUUUAUAGUUUUUAUGCAUACAAAAUUGAACUUUUUUUUUUUGCCACUGUUGGGGGAUUCGAACCCCAACAAAAGGUUCAACAAGUAUCCCAACUCCACUAGGACAAACUUGUCCCAUGAUAAAUGAUAUGCACUAAAGAAAUAUAUAUCAAAAGUUAGGAUAUAAAUACAAUAUUAAAAAAAACACUUUAAAUAACAAAUUAAUUAUAACUAUUUUAUAAUUGAAUGAAAAAUUUUCAAUUAGUAAAAAUAUAUCAUAAUUUUAUUCAUCGUGUUUUUAAUAUUAUUAAUAUAUCAAAAAUUUAUCCAAACAUGUAACUGAUUCUGUUUACCUUGAAGUUUAGUCUAAUUUUCACUAUAUUCGUAUGGAUAUCAAUCUAACCAGAUAAAAACAAAUUCAAUCUUAUCCAAAUCUAAACUGUAUCAUAGAUACCCACACCACUUUAUUCCUUCAACUGGACAACCAAGGAUUCGUAUAGAAAUAAAGAUAAAAAAUGAAUAAAUUAUUAAAUAAGACAACCAAGGAUUUGUAUAGAAAUAAAAAUAUUUCUUCAACUGAGGUAUGUAGAUUGCCUAUUAAAGAUCAACAUACCUUAUUGCAAGAGUUGAGAGCAAUGAAACAAAUAAAAAUAUUUCUUAUUUAUUUUUAAUUUUAACAAAUAAAAAGUGAAGAAUCUCCUUGAAUUUAAAUUUGAAUUUGAAUUUCAAUUUCAAUUAUUGCAGGUACUAAUCUAAUCAGGUUAUUAUUUUUUUAUUUUGUUGCAACCCCCGUUUGAUUCCCAAGUUUUUGCAAUCCCCGUUUGAUUCCCAAGAAAAUCCAUCCUCCAUUCGCUUUUCGGGAAAAUUCAUCCUUCUUUGAUUUUCGAGAAAGUCCAUGCAAAACCCCCUAGAAAAACAAACAAAAAAAUGCUUUUUAUUUUUGCUCCAUGCUUUCUGGAUCGAGUCUCUUUGCUUUUGUGCCAUUGGAUUUAAAUUUCACAAACCCUAAAUCCACGAUUUUUGAGCCACGCUGAAAAACACAACCUUUCCCCUCAAAUCAUGAUCAGAUUACCAAAUAGCUUAUGUUUUUUUAUAAAAAAAAAUUGGACAGAUUUUGUAUCCUGUGCGUGGGCUGGACUGGUAGGAAAUAUUGGGGAAUUUGUUUUUCCAACUUUCCCACACUUUCUUGGCAACCAAACAAAAUCACAACAAGUCGAACCACAAAAAAAAUUAAAACUUUUUCCAUUAUUUUUAGUCUACUUGGUUUCAUUGUAAAAAAAAACGAAAACUUUAUUUUUUUUACAACUUUCCCACACUUUCUCGGUGACCAAACACAACCACACCACCAAAUAUAACCACAAAACUUACAGAAAACACCGGGGGCAAUGGUUUCUCAGAUCUGCACUUCACUUCCUUCCUAUUGGUGUUGAGACAAGGAUCUCCACCCCAUGAUCAGCGUGCGGGAUAAUGGGUUUUCGGGCAGAGGAGUUUUGAUGCAGAGAAGAAACACGGGAAGGG
rnacentral:lncRNA from 1 species